GGCAACAUCACAUUGAAACAUCAAUUCCCAUAAGAUCCCCGAAGUUAAGCAAUGUUGAGCAUGGUCAGUACUUCAGUGGGUGACCAGGUG